GCCAGGCCUGAAGGGCUAGGCCACCGCUGAACUACAUUUCCCAGCAGGCAACGCGGCCGCAGUUUCGCUUCCAAAAGGAGGAAGCUAUUCCCCAUGUCAUGAAGACCCCAUGGAGACAGCCAUGUGUUGAGGAACACAGCGUCCUGCCAGCAGCCAGCACCCACUUGCCAGCCUUUCAUGGAGGCAUUUGUUGAAAUGGAGGUGCCAAAAGAUUGAAGAGAUGUGGAUUGCUGACCCACUGCAUGAAGGUGGUUGCCCUACAGAGUCACCUGGACCUGCACUGACUUGGUAUAAAGCCCUUCAUCACCUACUGCUCUCAAAUCCCAAGGAUCGACAGGCCGUGUCUUCGUAUCUAAGUUUGGAAAGAACCCAGCUCUAUGAGGUUUGAUCUGUUUUGUUUGUGGAUGAGGAAGCAAGCACAAGGAGUAAAGUGGCCAAGGUGACAUGACCAUGAAUUAUCAGAAUCCAGACUCAAUGCUCCACCUUAUCUGAACUAACAGAGUUCUGAGAAGUGCCCCAUGUAGUAAGUUCCAGCAUCCCUCUGAGAUGUUGCGGAUUCAGUUUUAGGCCACCAUAGUAAAAUGAAUAUUGCAACAAAGCAGGUUACACACACUUUUGUUUUCCCAAUGUAAUAGA